GAUGAACGCUAGCGAUAGGCCUAACACAUGCAAGUCGAGGGGCAUCACAUGAAGUAGCAAUACGGAUGGUGGCGACCGGCGCACGGGUGAGUAACGCGUAGGCAACCUGCCCCAUACAGAGGGAUAGCCUCGGGAAACCGGGAUUAAAACCUCAUAACGCGAGGAGUUCACAUGGACUUCUCGCCAAAGAUUCAUCGGUAUGGGAUGGGCCUGCGUCUGAUUAGCUAGUUGGUGAGGUAACGGCUCACCAAGGCGACGAUCAGUAGCCGACCUGAGAGGGUAAUCGGCCACAUUGGAACUGAGACACGGUCCAAACUCCUACGGGAGGCAGCAGUGGGGAAUAUUGCACAAUGGGCGAAAGCCUGAUGCAGCAACGCCGCGUGAGCGAUGAAGGCCUUUGGGUCGUAAAGCUCUGUCCUUGGGGAGAAACAAAUGACGGUACCCUUGGAGGAAGCCCCGGCUAACUACGUGCCAGCAGCCGCGG
rnacentral:rRNA from 1 species